rnacentral:rRNA from 1 species
AUUGAACGCUGGCGGCAGGCUUAACACAUGCAAGUCGAGCGAGCGGCGGACGGGUGAGUAAUGUCUGGGAAACUGCCUGAUGGAGGGGGAUAACUACUGGAAACGGUAGCUAAUACCGCAUACCCUCAGAUGUGCCCAGAUGGGAUUAGCUAGGAGGUGGGGUAAUGGCUCACCAAGGCGACGAUCUCUAGCUGGUCUGAGAGGAUGACCAGCCACCCUGGAACGGAGACACGGUCCAGACUCCUACGGGAGGCAGCAGUGGGGAAUAUUGCACAAUGGGCGCAAGCCUGAUGCAGCAAUGCCGAGUGUGUGAAGAAGGCCUUCGGGUGGUAAAGCACUUUCAGCGAGGAGGCGUUACUCGCAGAAGAAGCACCGGCUAACUCCGUGCCAGCCGCCGCGGUAAUAC